UCCCUUAUAGCUCAGUGGUAGAGCGCGUCACUAGUACACGCCGUUCAGGUGGUGACAUGACGAGGUCCAUAGUUCAAGUCUGUGUGAGGGAA